rnacentral:rRNA from 1 species
UACGUAGGGUGCAAGCGUUAAUCGGAAUUACUGGGCGUAAAGCGUGCGCAGGCGGCUUUGCAAGACAGAUGUGAAAUCCCACGGCUCAACCGUGGAACUGCUCGGUAUACUGCGUCGCUUGAGCCAGCUAGGGGCGACCGGAACAAACGGUGGAGCGGUGAAAUGCGUAGAUAUCGUUUGGAACGCCGAUGGUGAAAACAGGUCGCUGGGGCUGUGCUGACGCUGAGACACGAAAGCCAGGGGAGCGAACGGG